rnacentral:misc_RNA from 1 species
UGAACAUAUAAUCGAACACCGAAUAAUAAAAAAAAAUGAAAAAAGUAAAGAGAGAAUUUGAGUGAACUUUAAGUAGGAUAAAUAAUGCAUGUCUUGGUAUGUAAUUGAUACCCUUCGUUAUAAAUAAGGUUUGUUUCUUGUUACCUUAGGUCAUUUUUAACUUGCUAUGUUAAAUAAUGCAAAAUUUGGUCAGUUUACAGUAGUUGCCAGUGACAUUUUCCAGCCAUCCCCCAUCUCCUCCUCUAAACGUCUCUCACUAAACACAAAAAGACAUAAAAUUUACUGCCGCUAUUCCUUUUUUAUUUUUUUUUCUUUGGUUAAUUAUUUUCAUGGAGACUCUUUAAAAUGAAGGAUAGUAAGAUUCUCUUUCCUAAAAAGUGUUAUUUCCAUGACACAUUAUGUGUGAUCUAAUCGACUGAACCUUCAGAGGAUUAUCAUUUUUAUCAAGUGUGUAUAUAUAUGUAUGGUUGUAGAGUUUAUUGCUUCAGCUUGUUCUCUCGGUGGGGAUGUGUCUUUCAAUAAUCCACUGCAUUUAAUGCAUGGUUAUAGCCACAAUAAACGUGGGAACGCUGCAAGUCAAAAUUCAAACUCAAGCCUAGCAGAAAUAAAUGCAUCCAUGUGAAAUCUUGGACAGAAAUUUACGCAUUGCAGAAGUUAUCAUUUUUGUCUUUUUUCUCCAUAAUGCAAUUUGAUCGAAAAUCAUAGCAACAAGAAUCACUUUCAAACAGUUGAUAGUUAUGACCCACACUAGAAGGAAAUUUUGGGUGCCCUUAUUUACAUGGAAUACAAUCCAGGCAAUAAAUGAUAAUAUAAGGGAAUGGAUUAUUAGGAUUAAUCAAUUUCAUUGUUUGUGUUGUAAAAAUAUCCCGUUUGAUCCGGCUUUAUAUCUUUGAAGUCUUGAAGCUGAUUAGAUGACCAAAGAUUAUGAGGUAAGGUUCAAGGAAUCCAAGCUUCUAUCAUGCCAGAGCCUAGAGGGGCCAUCUUGGAUGAUUGAGAAAUUUCCACGCAUGAUAUUUUCAGUUAAAAAGAUAAGGGAAAAGGAGAAAAAACAAAACAUGAACAUACACAAGAAAGUAAACAUCACUUCCAUAUUCAUAAGGCCUCGGCCAAACGCAGUUUCAUCUUUCUCCUUUCUUCUUUUUUAUUUUAUUAAAAAAAAAA